UCCUGCUUGUACAGGCAGUCUGUUUAGAGUGCCCGGCAUUACCCGGUAGCAACUAAACAUAGGGGUUGCGUUCGUUGCGGGACUUAACCCAACACCUCACGGCACGAACUGACGACAGCCAUGCAGCACCUGUCUACCACCCUCGAAGGCUUCCCCGCUUUCACGGGGCGUGCAGGUAGAUGUCAAGCCCUGGUAAGGUUCUUCGCGUUGCAUCGAAUUAAGCCACAUGCUCCUCCGCUUGUGCGGGCCCCCGUCAAUUUCUUUGAGUUUUAACCUUGCGGCCGUACUCCCCAGGCGGUACACUUAACGCGUUAGCUCCGGCACGGAAGGGGUCAAAUCCUCCCACGCCAAGUGUACACCGUUUACAGUUGGGACUAC
rnacentral:misc_RNA from 1 species